GAUGAACGCUGGCGGCGUGCUUAACACAUGCAAGUCGAACGGUGAAGGCGGAGCUUGCUCUGCUGGAUCAGUGGCGAACGGGUGAGGAACACGUGAGCAAUCUGCCCCUGACUCUGGGAUAAGCGCUGGAAACGGCGCCUAAUACUGGAUACGAGCUGCGAAGGCAUCUUCAGCAGCUGGAAAGAAUUUCGGUCAGGGAUGAGCUCGCGGCUUAUCAGCUUGUUGGUGAGGUAAUGGCUCACCAAGGCGUCGACGGGUAGCCGGCCUGAGAGGGUGACCGGCCACACUGGGACUGAGAGACGGCCCAGACUGCUACGGGGGGCAGCAGGGGGGAAUAUUGCACAAUGGGAGAAAGCCUGAUGCAGCAACGCCGCGUGAGGGAAGACGGCCUUCGGGUUGUAAACCUCUUUUGGCAGGGAAGAAGCGAAAGUGACGGUACCUGCAGAAAAAGCGCCGGCUAACUACGUG
rnacentral:rRNA from 1 species